rnacentral:rRNA from 1 species
UACGAGGGGGGCAAGCGUUGUUCGGAAUUAUUGGGCGUAAAGGGUGCGUAGGCGGUUCAGCAAGUCUUGUGUGAAAUCUUCGGGCUCAACCCGAAGUCUGCAUAGGAAACUACUGGGCUUGAGUAUUGGAGAGGUGAGUGGAAUUUCCGGUGUAGCGGUGAAAUGCGUAGAUAUCGGAAGGAACACCUGUGGCGAAAGCGGCUCACUGGACCAUUACUGACGCUGAUGCACGAAAGCUAGGGGAGCAAACAGG